UACGUAGGGUGCAAGCGUUAUCCGGAAUCACUGGGCGUAAAGGGCGCGUAGGCGGAUCUUUAAGUCGGGGGUGAAAGCCUGAGGCUCAACCUCAGAAUUGCCUUCGAUACUGGAGAUCUUGAGACCGGAAGAGGUAAGUGGAACUGCGAGUGUAGAGGUGAAAUUCGUAGAUAUUCGCAAGAACACCAGUGGCGAAGGCGGCUUACUGGUCCGGUUCUGACGCUGAGGCGCGAAAGCGUGGGGAGCAAACAGGG
rnacentral:rRNA from 1 species